rnacentral:lncRNA from 1 species
AUUGCCCUGUGGGACUCACUUGUGCUAGUUCAGUCAGGUUUGGGAAGUGCUAGAUGAUGGAGGAUAUGAAAAUGCAGAGAAUCUGGGUUCCGACAUAAAGGAAACACACACUCCCUCUCUAAUCUCUGACAGAGGUAAGGCUGAACAAGACACAGGCAAACCCUCCAGAGGAGUUUAAUGUGGAAACUAUGUGACAAACAGGGCUUCAACUUGGGUUUGUAACAUUGUAACGAAGACCCCAAUCAACAAGGGUCCUCCUGAUCUCUGCAGCAUGAAUGUCCUGAGCAGUCCUGGUCCUGGAAGAACUGCAGUAGAUACAGAGAAGAGCAAUAAGGAUGAUCAAAGGAGUACCAAUAAUGCCAAAGAUGCUACACUAUAAACGAUCGAAUUUUACUGAGAAGCUCUGGAGCACGUCACAAAACAAAGAAAAGAAAACAUGGUGAGAUAGUCUUGUUGAUGGGAAGUUCCUUCACAGCACUGAUUAUUUCCUUUAGAAAAUCUGCUUUUUACAGAUGACUGGAAGCAUGAAUGACAGUGACAGGAAGCAUGUGGAAAAAUGAUGAGCUUAAGGCUUCCACAGACAUCUAAGGCUAUGGAAGUAACCAUACCAGACGAAAACCACAGAUCCUUCUGGCCCAGCUCCUCAUCUCUGACAGUAACCAAGAAUGAAUCCAAGGAAGUAUAUAUGAACACAGUAUAUGAAUCGGCACUUUUUUAGUGAGCUCAGACAGCCUACAGCAAUCCUUGGCACAGGAACUUCCUGAGAAAAAAUGUGACGUGCUUCCGUCUUACAGCAGAGUGCAAGCUGAGAGUUAUAACACGGAAAUUUUGUGACAUUAUAUGCAUAUAUGACCAACAAGAAGUAUUUUUCUGUGGAACCAUGCAAAACACAUGAUUUAUCUGAGUGAACCUACAUGAUUCUAAAAUUUAAAUAUCUUCCAGUCUUUGUACAUUUCAUAUUGUGUUUAAAAAUAGGAUUUAUUUUUAAGACAACGCCACUUUUCUUUAACUUAGUAGUAACACAAUUAGCAAAAUAAAUGAUUUUAAAAGAUAAAUGCUAAUUAAAGUGAAAUCUACUAUAGUUACUACAUUUGAAUUCUGUGUAUCUGACAAAAGAAAUAAAGUUUAAAUAACUUUAGUACCAGUAACAUUUAUGUUCCAG